UCGACGAUUUCUUCGAGUACUGGGCCCUGUUCAACCUCAUCUUGGUAUCACUAAACGCUCGUGUGUGUGUCUGGUGGUUACAUCUUCCCAAACUGGAUUUUAAAUGAAUACAGUGAACCCUAACGUUUUUCUGGUGUGGAUAGUAAGUAGGCCCAUUGGAUUAACAAUACUUAAGCUUGGGUAAUUGAAAGCAUUUUUUAAAAUGAAGACGGUCCUAUUUUGGAAAUGCAGAAAGGCGAGAUGAAAGCCAAACUCUGGGCCUUGACUGGAAUUUGCAAGAGACUUCCCCCUUCAAAUGGAAGGUGCACAGUAUCAUCAUCAUCUUGAAGCAUCCGUUCAGCUUCCUUUAUAACACAUGUGUGAAGAGGUUACUUUUCCCAGAAUAUUUUCCAAGAGAAU
rnacentral:lncRNA from 1 species